UCGAGAAUCUUCCACAAUGGGCGAAAGCCUGAUGGAGCGACGUCGCGUGCGGGAUGACGGUCUUCGGAUUGUAAACCGCUUUUCUCAAAGAGGAAUUUAAUGACUGUAUUUGAGGAAUAAGGGGUGGCUAACUCUGUGCCAGCAGCAGCGGUAAUACAGAGACCCCGAGCGUUAUCCGGAUUUAUUGGGCGUAAAGAGUCUUAAGGCGGUAUGUAAAGUCCUUGAUAAAAGUUCUGGGGCUUAACUUCAGAAAUGUUAAGGAUACUUGCAUACUAGAGGGAGUCAGGGGUUAGCGGAACGCACGGUGUAGGGGUGAAAUCCGUUGAUAUCGUGCGGAACACCAAAAGCGAAGGCAGCUAACUGGGGCUUUUCUGACGCUGAAUGACGAAAGCGUGGGGAUCAAAAAGG
rnacentral:rRNA from 1 species